rnacentral:rRNA from 1 species
AUUGAACGCUGGCGGCAUGCCUUACACAUGCAAGUCGAACGGCAGCACGGGAGCAAUCCUGGUGGCGAGUGGCGAACGGGUGAGUAAUAUAUCGGAACGUGCCCAGUCGUGGGGAUAACGUAGCGAAAGCUACGCUAAUACCGCAUACGAUCUAUGGAUGAAAGCGGGGGAUCGCAAGACCUCGCGCGAUUGGAGCGGCCGAUAUCAGAUUAGGUAGUUGGUGAGGUAAAGGCUCACCAAGCCGACGAUCUGUAGCUGGUCUGAGAGGACGACCAGCCACACUGGGACUGAGACACGGCCCAGACUCCUACGGGAGGCAGCAGUGGGGAAUUUUGGACAAUGGGCGCAAGCCUGAUCCAGCAAUGCCGCGUGCAGGAUGAAGGCCUCGGUUGUAACUGCUUUGUUACGUAGAAGAAACAAC